rnacentral:lncRNA from 1 species
GACCAGCCUCAGCUCUUCUAAAACUCCAGGUAGACAGUGUCCGACAUGAGCUGCUACCAGGAAAGGUUUUCCUCGGAGGAUGACUACUGCACCUACGCGUCGAAAAUGGAGAAGAAGACAGACAUGACUAAAGGGCCUCACUUCCCUCAGCUUCACACUGUGAUCAAGCACAAGGAGGUCCAUAUGGAAGAGGACGAGUCACGCCCUGGAAUCUUUGGCCGGCCGAGGCACGAGGAGUGGUCUGAAGAGGAGACCUAUGAAAUGUCUGAGACCACCUACGCAGGCGACAUGGGCAUGAAAGGGGGAGAGCGCAUCAGGCGCAAGGUGUAUAUAUGAGACUAUCAUCUAUAUAUAGUUCUGUGGUGAUGGAUGCCAUGGCUUGGCAUCUUUAUAUAUAGAAUAAAUCUCGGGCUUAUCUGCUGUAUAUCCAUAUGAAUAAUACUAUACUUCUCUAGUACUCAAGCUAUAGCUCUAUACUUUAGCCUACUACAUUCACUCUUGAUAUCUUUAGUACGCGCGUGUUUUCAGGUAAAUUUUUUGAGAAUACUACCCAACUCUUUCCCCCUUCAUUUUGAUAAUAUAAUCGGGAAAGAAGUAGGCUAGUCUCCGCUUUGAAUCCUAAAUAUAUUGGUGCAAGAUCGACCGAUGGCAUUCUAAAAUGUUGAUCCAAGCCACUGAUAAUGAUAUAUAUAACAUGUAAGACAUCCGCAAGAAUCAAGUAUUUUGUAAGUUAUCUAUCUAUUAUGCAUCAAGGGGAUGCAAAUGGACGGCAUGAGUAGUGCUAAUGUGUUAAAAUGCAUGAUAGGGUGUGAGAAAAAUUUUGAAUCCAGUCCAUCGAUUAUGAUCGCUCCAUAGAAAGCAUAUGUCAAAUAAAGUUCAAUAUGUUUGAGCACUUCUAAGUCAUAUGUAAACAUGAACUAGAUCGAACAACAUGUAUGAUGAAACCUUUUUGUUUUUGAAGAUUGUUUAUAAAAGGUUUUUGAGCUUUUGGAAGCAAAGUUUAUAGCUUUCAUAAAAAGAGUGAAAAUAAAAUCAAGGAAUAGUAAAAGUUUUGUGCAGAUGCUACCUCGGACAUCAAUCUGCAUGUAGGAAUAGCCAAAUAGGACCUGCAACUCUGUUUCCUAGGGGAAAAAAAAAAAAGCUGAGAUUUUAGGGACGGUUGCAAAAUGUUGCAGUUCCCGUUUUCUUCAGAUUUUCUAAAGCUGGAACUUUCUCGGUUUUGUUACUUCAAGUUCCUUUCUGAGAACUCAGAAAUUCUAACAUAUUUCUGUAGCAAUUUCCGAAGCUGUUUUAAUGAAGCUGUAACUACUACCUAUCAUUAUGGUUUUUAACUUACAGGCUUGAAGCAUAACGCGCUCCCAGUUGCACCCCUAUUUUAAGUGUCUUUGGAGCAUUUUUCAAGACAAAACGAGAACAUAGGAUAAUUUUUGGCCCAGAUCUUGCCACAUAUCGCCGCAAGUGUUGGCUGAUUCUCCUUCUUGAUUAAAGCAGACAAUGCCAGUGAUCAAACACAACAUAAGUUCACGUAUAUAAGCAAUUCACUAAGAUCUACACCAAAGAGGUGCAGUGGCAAAGAAGCAACCAACUCAGAGAACCUUUGGAAGAAGGCUUAGCCCAAAGAAGGCACAAACUUUGCCCUCCCCUGAGGCCAUCCUUUCAGAUCCCUCGGUUCCCACCACCUUCUCUCUCCCUCUCUCCUGCGGACGUGCCGGUGCUGCAGCGCAGAGAGAGACCCUGCAUCAAUGCCAUGCGGAUUCGUGCAAAGCAAACUAACGUUCCCCAUGCCAAAAGCGGAUUACUCUACUGCCUCUAUAUAUAGAUCUCUUGCUUUCUUCUCAGCUCGCCACUCUUUCUUCCACCGAUUCUUCCAGAAUUAAUAUUAGAGCCAUGGCUGUCUUCCGUCGAGCCUAUUUGUUUCGAGAUAUCUUCCGUUGAUGAGUGACUUGCUCGUCUUUCAUGGUCACUUGACGACGUUGGUGCCCUGAAGUCGCGCCAAUGGCAACCUCGCGUUGACGUGGGGGGAAUUAAGCUCGUUUCUAUGGGUGCUCUUCUUGCUUUAUUUUCCGCUUUCUGCUCUCUAACGUAUGGGAAUUGAUUUGUGUGAGGUUGGAAGGGGAUCCAAGUGUAUGGUGAUAUAAUAGCAGCCUUAAAUAUCAGCUUUUUGCUAUUCUAAUAUUGGGUUCGGGUUGUAUCUUCCGUGGGAAAGAAUGAUUCAUCUUUUUUUUCCACGAGGUCAACCAUUGGAUUGUGCAACGGCCACUUUAAGAUCUGUGCAGGUGGAUGAAAAAAAAAAGAGUUUGGUGUGCUUUGGAUCAUUCUUUCACGUGAAAGAUACAACCUAGAUCCUUUGAUAUAUGCACAUUUCCGAAGUGGUCAAAGUGUUUACCAUAAAGAAGAUUGGAGUCUUGAGUGCUCAAAAGAUGUUCGUAGCUAUAAGUGAGGUUGCAUAUUGCACCUAUAAGACUUAUUGAAUGUAUAGUGAUUGUAUGGAGUUCCUCCUCCACCAAGAUGGUCAUGACCUCGCAUUAAGAAUUGGCUGUGUUGUUAUAUUGAAUAAUCAAUAUUAACAAUCCACUUUAAAAAUCAUUGUCAAGGAUAGAGAUGCGAACUUGGUUGAAAUAGCUUAUAAGUGGUCCCUUAACUUGAAAUAAUAGAAUACCUUACUACAAUUUUGUGACAAAAUCCAUGUAUUAAUAAUGAUACCCUUGAUAAGAGGCAUAGUGGUUUAUUGGAUUCAGAUACAAAUAAGGGUCUAGUUGUCCAACAUGAAAUCAACCAUAUGUUACAAUGUUAAUAUUAAAACAUAGAGAUGGUCAGACAUAUGAGACCCACAACCCAGCUAAUUACUUAAAGUUUUAAAAAUAAUUAUUUUGGAAAAAAAUAUUAUUAAGAACAAUGGUAAAUUAUUUUCAAAAGGUUUCAUGUGCAUUGAAAUCCAAUCCAAUCCACCACCAUAAGCUCUCUCACGCGCGCAUAUAUAUAUAUAUAUAUAUAUAUAUAUUCGUUAUAUAUAUAUAUAUAUAUAUAUAUAUAUUCGAAUUUGCCCCUCUUGGUUUCAAGUUAGCAUGUUUUAUAGAAUGGCAAUUUUAGAUGAAGUUUGGUCUAGGACCUCUAGGUAUAGAUGUGUAGGAAUAGAUUUGCACAAUUUGAUGAGUCGGUGAAUAUUUUGGUGUAAUUUGACAUAUUCAAUAUUCUAUUUUGCAUGGUUGCAAUUUUCUGUUUUCAAUUUUCCUUAAAAACUAAAGAAAUUGCCACGGGAAUGGUGUUUGAUAAUCUAUUUUCUUUUUUAGUUUUUUUGAAAACUUUUUCUUAGUUUCUAAAAAUUUAUGCAAGUUUAAAAUUUUGUUUCCAAAAUUUCUAAAAAUCAAACCACUCAUGAUCCUCCACCAUCAUCUUUGUUGCUAUUGCCUCUGUCACCACCUAUCAACCACUAUCCUCUCGCCAACCACAAUCAUCUCCACUAUCACUGCAAUCAGCAUUGCUAACAUUGCUGCCAAAUGCAUUCCAUGCAACCAUUAGAUGUUAGGUUUUUGAUUGAAGGAGGCUUGUUUGAGGAAUCUCUUUUAGAGAUGUAACGUGAAAGAUAAAUGGAGAAUCGACCUUGCGACCUAGAGAGGGGAAUUUCAAAAAAUUCGAUGAAAAGAGAGAAAAAGAAGGGAAUAUAUAUUUGUGGUGUGGUUAACUAAGCUGAUUGAUAUUGAUGGUAUUCGAAUUUGAUAAGACAAGGAUUAGAAUUCUUUCAUAUGAAGUAUGCGAAUGAAGAACUGGUGGUCUAGAUCAUUGAGGAAUGAGAAUAAGAAAGCGAGCAAUGAAGAUAGGAGGUGGGUCCUAAAAUUUAAAGGGGCAAGGAGGCUGCACUGGAACUAUUUGGAAAUCCCAAGAACAUUUAAUUUCUCAGGAUGGCCAUGGCCCUUGCCCCCUCCCCUGCCGGUUCCAGCAUUCACAAACUGAUGCAUUCUUUUAGUCUUCUAAAUCUACUUCAUAUAGUUUCUAGGAGCUUGGGUUGUCUCUAUGGUUCAUAAACCUUACAAGAAUGUUUACCUUCUGAUGUCAGCAUAUGAUAUAUAACGAUGACAAGUGCCUCUACCUGUGGGUCGAUGAAGAAUGGUAUGAUCAAUUCAGGUUUCCAAGCACAGAAGAACGGUACAAAGAUAGCAGCAGCAAGACAUUCAAACAUUGUUGAUCUCAGAAAACCAUGUUGCCCAUGCUGUAACGCAGCACUGGUUUGUAAGCUAGGAAAUGAUCAAGGAAUAGGAUGGACUCCAAUGGACACAGGCCUAUGUGAACUUGGAGAGGAGCACUGUACUAGUAAAGUGAAUGCAACUCAGCUAUGGUGCUCAUAUUCUGCCCCUAUGUAAAUUUCAAACUUCUCUCUUUUUCUUCUUGGGAAAUAUCGAACCUAUUCAACCAUCUGAUGGUGAUUACAAACAUUUUAAACUAACUUUUUCCAGAGCAAUUCCAAACGGUGGAGAAAUUGUUUGCAUAUGAUGAGGUAUGGGAUCACAAAGUAAUAUAAUUAUUGUCGAGUAUAUCUUUGAGUUUACGGGCUCUAGAAAGGCAAAAAAAAUCUUUUCCCCCAUGAGAGAAGCAAGUGGUGCAGAGUGCAAAGAGCGAAGCAAGCAUUAGCAUCCUUGUUUUAUUUGGGCCGCACAGGAUGAGAUAAAUUUAUUUAUAUAUUGUUCUAGAAACCGACAUUAGCAUCAGUGGGUGCUUCCAAUACCACCCAAAGCUACUGCAUCAAGGUUCAAAUUCAUGCAAUAACACUAGCCGCCUGACGCAGACAGAAGUUAGAGGAUUAGAUGCGCUUCUUAUCUUUUUUCUUUUUUUUUGGUACAGAUGCACUUCUUAUCUUCAAGGAAUAAAUAUCAUAAGGCUUGGUCUAUAAAAAGGAGGAGCCAAGGAGCUCAGAAACCAGACCAGCCUCAGCUCUUCUAAAACUCCAGGUAGACAGUGUCCAACAUGAGCUGCACCUACGAGUCGAAAAUGGAGAAGACAAGCAUGACUGAAGGGCCUCACUCCCCUCAGCUUCACACUGUGAUCAAGCACAAGGAGGUCCAUGAGGAAGAGGAGAAGCCACGCCACGGAAUCUUCGGCCGGCCAAGGAACAAGGAGUGGUCUGAAGAGGAGACCUAUGAAAUCUCUGAGACAACCUACGCAGGCGACAUGGGCAUGCAAGGAGGAGAGUGCAUCAGGCGCAAGGAGUAUAUAUGAGACCAUACAUCAAGGCAGCUUGAGAGCAUCAUCUAUCUAUAGUUCUGUGAUGAUGGAUGCCAUGGCUUGGCAUCUUUAUAUAUAGAAUAAAUCUCUGGCUUAUCUACUGUAUAUCCAUAUGAAUAAUACUAUACUUCUCUAGUACUCAAGGUAUAGCUCUAUACUUUAGCCUACUACAUUCACUCUUGAUAUCUUUAGUACGCGCGUGUUUUCAGGUAGAUUUUUUGAGAAUACUACACCAACUCUUUCCCCCUUCAUUUUGAUAAUAUAAUCGGGAAAGAAGUAGGCUAGUCUCCGCUUUGAAUCCUAAAUAUAUUGGUGCAAGAUCGACCGAUGGCAUUCUAAAAUGUUGAUCCAAGCCACUGAUAAUGAUAUAUAUAACAUGCAAGACAUCCGCAAGAAUCAAGUAUUUUGUAAGUUUUCUAUCUAUUAUGCAUCAAGAGGAUGCAACUGGACGGCAUGAGUAGUGCUAAUGUGUUAAAAUGCAUGAUAGGGUGUGAGAAAAAUUUUGAAUCCAGUCCGUCGAUUAUGAUCGCUCCAUAGAAAGCAUAUGUGAAAUAAAGUUCAAUAUGUUUGCUUCUAAGUCACAUGAAAACAUGAACUCGAUCCAACAACAUGUGUGAUGAAACCUUUUUGUUUUUGAAGAUUGUUUGUAAAAGUUUUUGAGCUUUUGGAAGCAAAGUUUAUAGCUUUCAUAGAAGGAGUGAAAAUAAAGCAAGGAAUAGAAAAAGUUUUGUACAGAUGCCACCUUGGACAUCAAUCUGCAUGUGGUAUUUCAC